ensembl:lncRNA
UGUGAUUCUGUGUGAGGCACAAAUACUAGGAGACUGGGAAAUAGUUGACACCACUUUUCCCAAGGAUGAAGAUCACCUGAAGUGUGUCACUUUGCCAUGCAGAUUUGAUGCUCUGCAGAGAAGCCUUCUGUGAGGGAGAGAUUGAAUUGCCCAGAGACAGACCUGAAUCCAUUCCAGCGACUCCACCAUCACAGGCCACGGUGAAGCGAACCAAACGUAGUGAAACAGGUAAAUCAGAUGAGUGUUUUGAUUAUUAUGGCGGUGUAGAGUUGGACUACGUUAAAGGGUCCACAAUCUCGUAUACAUUUAAUCUUUGUGCUGUCAUUAAAUGCAAGGGCUUGCUGAACAGUUGAGUCCAACGUCUUUAAUGGCAGUACAAAAUCAGAUGGCGUUAGAUAUGUUGUUGGGAGAAAAAGGGGGCGUUUGCGCGAUGUUUGGGGAUAUGUAUUGUACUUUCAUUCCAAAUAACACAGUUCCCGACGGCUCUGUGACCCGAGUUCUGGAAGGCCUAAAGA